rnacentral:rRNA from 1 species
UUGGAGGGCAAGUCUGGUGCCAGCAGCCGCGGUAAUUCCAGCUCCAAUAGCGUAUAUUAAAGUUGUUGCAGUUAAAAAGCUCGUAGUUGAAUUUCGGGAUUAGUACGUUGGUCGUGCCUUCGGUACGUACUGGUGUUACUGAUUCCUACCUUCUGACGAACCAUCAUGUCAUUAAUUUGGUGUGGUGGGGAAUCAGGACUGUUACUUUGAAAAAAUUAGAGUGUUUAAAGCAGGCUCGCGCUUGAAUACAUUAGCAUGGAAUAAUGAAAUAGGACGUUGACCCUAUUUUGUUGGUUUCUAGGAUUGACAUAAUGAUUAAUAGGGAUAGUUGGGGGCAUUAGUAUUCAAUUGUCAGAGGUGAAAUUCUUGGAUUUAUUGAAGACUAACUACUGCGAAAGCAUUUGCCAAGGAUGUUUUCAUUAAUCAAGAACGAAAGUUAGGGGAUCGAAGACGAUCAGAUACCGUCGUAGUCUUAACCAUAAACUAUGCCGACUAGGGAUCGGAUGAUGUUAUUUUUAAUGACUCAUUCGGCGCCUUACGGGAAAC